GUCUUCUCAAUGAGCUCCUCCCUGUCUACCGGUGACAGGCCAUGGAUUCGCACGAGAAGAACAAAAACUUCACACCAUGUGUCAUUGUGGCCCUGUGGUCAUGGUUGCGUGGCUGUGAGACAGAU